rnacentral:rRNA from 1 species
UCAGGACGAACGCUGGCGGCGUGCCUAAUACAUGCAAGUCGAACGGUCUUUCUAUGGAAGCUUGCUUCCACUGAGAAGAUAGUGGCGAACGGGUGAGUAACACGUGGGUAACCUGCCCAUAAGAGGGGAAUAACAUCCGGAAACGGGUGCUAAUACCGCAUAGUUUUCUUGAUCGCAUGAUCGGGAAAGGAAAGACGGCCUUUGUGCUGUCGCUUAUGGAUGGACCCGCGGCGUAUUAGUUAGUUGGUGAGGUAACGGCUCACCAAGACGAUGAUACGUAGCCGACCUGAGAGGGUGAUCGGCCACAUUGGGACUGAGACACGGCCCAAACUCCUACGGGAGGCAGCAGUAGGGAAUCUUCCGCAAUGGACGAAAGUCUGACGGAGCAACGCCGCGUGAGUGAAGAAAGGUUUUCGGAUCGUAAAACUCUGCUGUCAGAGAAGAACAAGUUGGAGAGUAACUGCUCCAGCCUUGACGGUAUCUGACCAGAAAGCCACGGCUAACUACGUGCCAGCCGCCGC